UAAUUCUUGAAAGCUUGGGCUUGGCCGGGUUGCCGCCGAGACCGCAGCAGGACGCUGGCUGGCACCCUGCUCGGCAGGGACAAGGGACGGCGACAGUGCAAGAGCUUUCCCCUAUUUCAAAUCCCCCCGGAGCAGAUUCCAGCUCCUCUCGCUCCCCGCAGGGCUGGAGACCCGCUGGGGCAUCUCCACAGGGCUCAGUUUUGGAAACCAGCUCAGUUACAGGGAUGCCGAGAGUUUUCCAGCUGACUUCCCUCUUCUUCCUUCCCCUUUUCUGCCAGAAACGUGGCUGUAAUCUCCCUGUUCUGGUGUAAUCCAGCCAGGGGAGGACAGGGCUGACAUUUAACGUGUUCCCAUCCUCUUUUCUUUCUCUCCCUGCCAGGGAGGAGCGUUCACCCACAUUCACCCUACAUGAUGCUCUGCUCAUUUUCUGGCUGGCAAAUCGCGGGUCUCUGGCCCUGGUGAAAGUUCGCGGGGAAUUUCCUGAUCUGCUCACUAUAACGUGAACCCAGGAGCGGGGGCUAUAUGGGAAAAAAAUCCCACCUCCAAAAGCCAUGAGAGCCUGGCCACGAAGGAGCUGCCAGCAGGACCUGUCUUGUGGGACCCUCAGCAGAAGCCCCUCGCCAUGGCUGAUCCUGCAUGCGCCACCCUCCUCCUCCUCUUCCUUCUCCUGCCAGCAGACCCUGGCCUGGAACACAACGUAGAUUGAGAUUUGCACCAGCAUCCAUCCAGGCUGCUCAGGGCUGCCGGCCAGCACGCGCCUUCAGCGUGGGGACACCAGCUCGGCUUUGGGGACGGAUGGGGUGGAGAGGACACCGGGACGUCCCCGUCCCGCCACUGCGCAUCGCCCUGGGGGCAGCUCGAUGCCUGAUGUUGCCUGGUUGGUUGUGGGUGUGAAGGGACCUCCUGCACGUCUGUCCCGCUUCUUCUGGGAGUCUCUGUGGGGUGAACCCUCCCUGCUCGGUGGAUCCCGCUGUCCUGUUUUGCAUGGGAACGCAGGGAUGGCAGCGAUGGAGCCUGGUCCGGCCCCAGCCAUCGCCGGGCAAAACCUUGUGGGACAAGCUGAACUGAGUC
rnacentral:lncRNA from 1 species